CUGCGUGAGCGGANCGAAAACAACAACACCUAAAAUGUGGAAUAUAGCAUAUAGUCGACAAGAGAAAUCUACGAAAAACAAACAAAACUUUCAACAACGGAUCUCUUGGUUCUCGCAUCGAUGAAGAGCGCAGCGAAAUGCGAUACCUAGUGUGAAUUGCAGCCAUCGUGAAUCAUCGAGUUCUUGAACGCACAUUGCGCCCCUCGGCAUUCCGGGGGGCAUGCCUGUUUGAGCGUCGUUUCCAUCUUGCGCGUGCGCAGAGUUGGGGGAGCGGAGCGGACGACGUGUAAAGAGCGUCGGAGCUGCGACUCGCCUGAAAGGGAGCGAAGCUGGCCGAGCGAACUAGACUUUUUUUCAGGGACGCUUGGCGGCCGAGAGCGAGUGUUGCGAGACAACAAAAAGCUCGACCUCAAAUCAGGUAGGAAUACCCGCUGAACUUAAGCAUAUCAAUAAGCGGAGGAA
rnacentral:rRNA from 1 species